UUUGUGGGUAUCAUCAGUUUCGUUCCAUCUUCUCUCCCUAUUCUCUGCAAACCCUCAAAGAAAAAAUAGAAAAAAUCUCCAGAAAUUAGAAAAAGAAUGGAUGCUUUGCACAACCCAGAUGUUGCAGGAGCAGCAGCAGGUUGUUUCAUGUUGGAUGGUGAAGACGACCUUCUCAACUUCUCCUUGGACGACGGUGAAGAAGAGAAAGAAAAUAAAAAUCCUUCCCCUUUUCUAAAAGACCCUUAUUCUUUUUCUCCUUCAAAUACCCUCAUUAGCCAUCAAGAUGAUGAUCUCAGCCGUUCACCUUCCUUCCCUGUAAGUCUUAAUUGAUGCCUGUGCUAUGCUAUGCUUUUGUUAAAGGUUAUGUUCUUGGAGCCCAGAAAGUCUUUUGCUGAGUUUGCCAUGAACUCGGCCGAGUCUGGGCGGUUUGCAUGAACUUGGUGCUGGAAAUGCUGUGACUCGGUUUUGCCACUGAGUUGACUCGGGCGAGUUUUGACUGAGUUGUAUUCCGAGUCUGGCGGUUUUGGACGGCUUCUGUGUAUAUAUAUAUAUGCUCUAAAAUACACGAGUGAGUUGAAAUGCUUUGAGACGUUAAGGGUAUUUUGGUAAUUUUGUGAGGUAACGCGUGAUGGGGGCUCCUUUGACUGAGAAGAGUCCGAGUUUUUGACUCGGUGGAACUGGAAAAUGGGAAACCACGAAAUUGGACAAAGGAUGGCGGCCAAGGGUAUUUUGGUAAUUCUGUUUCUGGACGAUUUGCCCUUAGAAACCCUGAGCAUGGAAUUGGACAAAGGAUGGCGGCCAAGGGUAUUUUGGGAAAGAAAUAGUUUUUACGCGUCUUUAUUAGUGAAGCAUGGGCUGUCACUUGGGAUUUUUCUGAGCUGGACUAAUUAAAUGAGCAUAUAACCGGACGAAUAUUUUCGGUGCCUGUUUUAGUAUUAAAAGACAACUUUGCCCCCACGGAAUAUCCUGUCCCCCUGUCUGAGUGAGGGUUACCUUCUUUGGAAUUUUUGACGUUGUCGGUACCCUUUACAGAAAUUUGAUUUCCCAUGAUAAUCAAAAUUCCUUAGUAGUGCUGCAACUAAAUAAGUGGAAAUAUAAAAAAAAAAAUUUACAUAAUUUCUGUGAAACUGAAAAUCGAAAAUUGUUCAUUUGUUGGAACCUUUUGAUGGAUGUAUUACACUGAGUUGAUUCUGUGGGUUGACUAAUGAGCUGACUUAACUUAGUCCUUUUGGGUCUGCUCAGUUUCUUGAGGGAUGGAGAUGUAGUUCUGAUUAUAUAUUGUUGUCCCAUUUUAUUCAGGAGUUUGAGGAAGAACUGGAAUGGUUAUCGAACAAGGACGCAUUCCCGGCAGUGGAGACAUGCUUCGACCUUCUAUCUGAGACCCCGGAUUUUGAUGGAUUGAACCACCAGAGCCCG
rnacentral:lncRNA from 1 species